AGGACGAACGCUGGCGGCGUGCCUAACACAUGCAAGUGGAGCGACGAACCAGGCUUCGGCCUGGGGCAAAGCCGCGAACGGGUGAGUAACACGUGGGUAACCUGCCCUGAUGAUUGGGACAACCCGAGGAAACUCGGGCUAAUACCAAAUGUGACCUCCGGCCAUAAGGCCGCUGGGGAAAGGAGCUUCGGCCUCCGCAUCGGGAUGGGCCCGCGGCCCAUUAGCUUGUUGGUGAGGUAACGGCUCACCAAGGCUACGACGGGUAGCUGGUCUGAGAGGACGACCAGCCACACUGGAACUGAGACACGGUCCAGACACCUACGGUGGCAGCAGUCGAGAAUUUUUUCACAAUGGGGAAACCCUGAUGGAGCGACGCCGCGUGGGGGAUGGAAUGGCUUCGGCCCGUAAACCCUGUCAUUUGCGAACAACCUUUUCAUUUAACAGACGAAAGCUGAUUGUAGCGGAAGAGGAAGGGACGGCUAACUCUGUGCCAGCAGCCGC
rnacentral:rRNA from 1 species